GUUUUGUCUUAGAAACUCCUGUCUCAAGUUUGUAUGGAUAAAAAAAGGGGGAAGUGGCCCCUGAUGUGAAAGCUCUACCACAAGGGUGGGACCCAGUGAAGGACGCUGCUGGAAGUGGAACACUCAGGAAAAGUGAAAAUGUUGGCAGACUGGUGACCAGAGCUCACUCUCGCCCCUCCCUUCUCCGGUGGCUGCACAACACAGAGGACCACUGCAGACAUAGGUGAGUUAUGAUCCAACCCAGCAGGUUAGGGUCUAAGAAAAAGUAUUGGAGAUUGAUAAAUGCAAGUGAUAAAGGCUAGAGAAUGUAAACGAACUUGGAUGAUGAUGAUUUAGAAAUAAGAAAUGCUACAGAUGAAGGAUGUUUAAGGUUGGUAAGUGCAGUUUAUACAUGCUGGCACUGUCUAAGAAG
rnacentral:lncRNA from 1 species